rnacentral:tRNA from 1 species
GAAGAUACAGCUCAGUGGUAGAGUGCAUCCUUAGCAUGCAUCAGGUCCUGGGUUCAAUCCCCAGUAUGUCCA